ensembl:lncRNA
AAAACACACAUAUACAUAUACAUCUAUAUUACUAUUAAAAAAAACAAUACAGUUAGGGUUCUUUUACAAUGUCAGAAGGAGGGAGGCACUAAGGCACCGCCUUCCGCCCCUGGACGCCCUCGCGGUGCCCCCCUCCUUCUGACAGGAACUUCCUACAGACCAGGUGUGAAUGAUGCCUGAGUGGACAUACAAAACUCACAAGUUCCUGGCUCUCACGGCUCCUCUGCAGCGGGUUAGUCGAAGAAGGAGGGGCAUCGCGAGGGGCGUCAGGGGGCGGGGGACUGUGCCUCACUGCCCUCCCCUUCUCGAAGAAACCCGUCUUCAACCGAGCCGAGAGAGCCAGGAACUUGUGAGGUGUGCAUGUCCUGGUGAGCCUCCACCUUUUUAUAGGUGGGUGCAGCCUCGACUGUAUAGAGACAGACCAGGCCAGCUGCACCACACAGACACUUCAAACCUCAUCUGAGGACAUAAAACACAAAUAUACAUCUAUAUUACUAUUAAAAGAAAAUAAAGUUAGGGUUCUUUUACAAUGUCAGAAGGAGGGAGGCACUAAGGCACCGCCUUCCGCCCCUGGACGCCCUCGCGGUGCCCCCCUCCUUCUGACAGGAACUUCCUACAGACCAGGUAUGAAUGAUGCCUGAGUGGACAUACAAAACUCACAAGUUCCUGGCUCCCACGGCUCCUCUGCAGCGGGUUAGUCGAAGAAGGAGGGGCAUCGCGAGGGGCGUCGGGGCGGGGACUGUGCCUCACUGCCCUCCCCUUCUCGAAGAAACCCGUCUUCAACCGAGCCGAGAGAGCCAGGAACUUGUGAGGUGUGCAUGUCCUGGUGAGCCUCCACCUUUUUAUAGGUGGGUGCAGCCUCGACUGUAUAGAGACAGACCAGGCCAGCUGCACCACAGACACUUCAAACCUCAUCUGAGGACAUAAAACACAAAUAUACAUCUAUAUUACUAUUAAAAGAAAAUAAAGUUAGGGUUCUUUUACAAUGUCAGAAGGAGGGAGGCACUAAGGCACCGCCUUCCGCCCCUGGACGCCCUCGCGGUGCCCCCCUCCUUCUGACAGGAACUUCCUACAGACCAGGUAUGAAUGAUGCCUGAGUGGACAUACAAAACUCACAAGUUCCUGGCUCCCACGGCUCCUCUGCAGCGGGUUAGUCGAAGAAGGAGGGGCAUCGCGAGGGGCGUCGGGGGGCGGGGGACUGUGCCUCACUGCCCUCCCCUUCUCGAAGAAACCCGUCUUCAACCGAGCCGAGAGAGCCAGGAACUUGUGAGGUGUGCAUGUCCUGGUGAGCCUCCACCUUUUUAUAGGUGGGUGCAGCCUCGACUGUAUAGAGACAGACCAGGCCAGCUGCACCACACAGACACUUCAAACCGCAUCUGAGGACAUAAAACACACAUAUACAUCUAUAUUACUAUUAAAAAAAAAUACAGUUAGGGUUCUUUUACAAUGUCAGAAGGAGGGAGGCACUAAGGCACCGCCUUCCGCCCC